CCUACGGGAGGCAGCAGUGAGGAAUAUUGGUCAAUGGGCGGGAGCCUGAACCAGCCAUGCCGCGUGAAGGCGAGUGCCCUACGGGCGUUAAACUUCUUUUGUGCGGGAGCAAUAAGGGCCACGUGUGGCCCGCUGAGAGUACCGCACGAAUAAGCAGCGGCUAACGCCGUGCCAGCAGCAGCGGUAAUACGGAGAAUGCGAGCGUUACCCGGAUUUAUUGGUUUUAAAGGGUGCGUAGGCGGCGCUUCAGGUCAGCGGUGAAAUACCCGGGCUCAACCCCGGGGCUGCCGUUGAAACCGGAGCGCUAGAAUUCCGAUGCGGUCGGAGGAAUGUGUGGUGUAGCGGUGAAAUGCAUAGAUAUCACACAGAAUACCGAUUGCGAAGGCAUCUGACGAAUCGGAGAUUGACGCUGAUGUACGAAAGCGUGGGUAUCGAACAGGAUUAGAUACCCCUGUAGUC
rnacentral:rRNA from 1 species